AUUACAAAUUGACGAUAAAUCGAUCUAAUUUUUCUGUCGAUCUAAUUUGUUUACUUGUAUUCUCUUGAUCGGAAAGGAUAUUUUAAAAUUAUUGACAAUAUAUAAAAAAAAAAAAAAAAAAAAAAAAAAAAAAGAAGGGGACGGGGGAAAAUUUGAAUAAUAACAAUAAUAACAAAUUCGGAAUAUCAGUGUUAGAACUGAAUUAGAUUGAGGUGAGGGAAGAGAGGGAUUUAAAAAAAAAAUAAAAAUAAAAGAGAAAAAAACAUACACACCGAUUGUGAGAAAGUAGUUGGUUGGUUGGUUGGUUGAGUGCGCGCGCUCGCCGCGUCUCGUCGUCGGGUAAAAGCCAGGAUCGUUCGUUCGGUUCCGUUCAGUACGUGCCGGUACUUCUUAUCGUACGCGUUAGCUGCAGCCCGUAGUUUGCUGUCCGUUACCGGUUGGUUGGUUGAUUGAUUGAUUGAUUGAUUGAUCGAUCGAUGAUACUACGAAAUAUUCGGGGAUAUUCAUUUGCAAUUACCUGUGCUCCAUGUGCAUUUCAAGGACGUUAGCAACGUCACUACGUUAUAGUAGUUUCUGACGAAGGCAAAUAACACGGAAGAAAGAAAGAAAGAAAGAAAGAAGAAGAGGAAGAAGAAAAAGGAAAAAGAUAAUCGGUGAUAAAGAGAGGAAGAAAGAAAGAAAGAAAGAAGGAAAUAUCGAAUCGAAUAAAAUGAUCAUUGUGUGUCCGAAAUAUUCAACGUCACUGUCAUCGUCAUCGCCAGCGUACAAUUUUCCUCCUCAAUUCGGAAAAGUUUGAUGAAGAAAAGUGGAAAUUAACGAUUUUAAAUAUAUAAACAUAAGAAAAAAGAACGACAACACUGAACAAGAGGGUGGACAAGUCAGAGAGUGUGACUACUUCCGUUGGAAAAAACAACCCCCUUCUUGCUUCGACUUCUACUUGUUCUUCUACUUCUACUCCAUUGGAAGAAAAAUAUUGGUGGCAUCUCCCCCCCCCUUCAUUGGAAAUAACCGAAAGGGUGAUUUAAAGUUCGAAACGAUUGAACGAACGGAAUAAAAUUAAAGUGGGCCGUAAAGAAGAUAAAAUACGACGAA
rnacentral:lncRNA from 1 species